AGUGAACGCUGGCGGCGUGCCUAAUACAUGCAAGUCGAACGGAGAUUAAGUAGCUUGCUAUUUAAUCUUAGUGGCGCACGGGUGAGUAAUAUAUAGCUAACUUGCCCAUUACUAAGGGACAACAGUUGGAAACGACUGCUAAUACCUUAUACUCCGUAUCUAUAUAAGUAGAUACGGGAAAGUUUUUCGGUAAUGGAUAGGGCUAUAUCGUAUCAGCUAGUUGGUAAGGUAAUGGCUUACCAAGGCUAUGACGCGUAACUGGUCUGAGAGGAUGAUCAGUCACACUGGAACUGAGACACGGUCCAGACUCCUACGGGAGGCAGCAGUAGGGAAUAUUGCUCAAUGGGGGAAACCCUGAAGCAGCAACGCCGCGUGGAGGAUGACACUUUUCGGAGCGUAAACUCCUUUUCUUGGGAAAGAAUUAUAACGGUACCCAAGGAAUAAGCACCGGCUAACUCCGUG
rnacentral:rRNA from 1 species